rnacentral:rRNA from 1 species
UACAGAGGGGGCAAGCGUUGUCCGGAAUCAUUGGGCGUAAAGCGCGCGUAGGCGGCCAGAUAAGUCCGGUGUGAAAGUCACAGGCUCAACCUGUGAAUGCCGCUGGAAACUGUCUGGCUAGAGUCCGGAAGGGGCGAGUGGAAUUCCUGGUGUAGCGGUGAAAUGCGCAGAUAUCAGGAGGAACACCAAUGGCGAAGGCAGCUCGCUGGGACGGUACUGACGCUGAGGCGCGAAAGCGUGGGGGAGCAAACAGG